rnacentral:lncRNA from 1 species
AGUUUUCUGAAUUCUGACUCAGAAAGGCUGAGUGGAAUUAGAAUUUAAAAUCAAAAGGUAGAGAGAUGGAGCAAUUACAGACUGUGAACAACUCUCCAAUGGAGGGUAAAGAGCGGGAGAAUACGCAGUGACAUUGUGAGCUUCAACUCAGCUCUCCAGGGCUGAGCACAGAAUGUCAGGGAGGGGACCUCUGAACAGGUCUAUACCACCUUUGCUCAAACUAAAGAUCAUUUUGAAGUCUAGCAAAUGAGACUAUAGGAGUGACCACAGGGAGUUCCCAAUUCCUUACAUGUUUCAGCUUCUAUAAGAUGUCAUAUACGGGGAUGAAGAGAUGGCUCAGCCACUAAGAGUACAAACUGCUCUUGCAGGGGACCUGGGACAGUUCCUGGAUCACAGUCUUUACCCUCUGCUACAUCGGUUCCAGAGGAACCAACACCCUGUCAGGUGUCUGAGGUUUUGCAAGGGCUGACCACUGCACUGGACCGCGAAUAAACCUCUCUCCAGCAAAUGGAAAUCAUCACAGAAAACCACAACUGGACCCAAGGCAGAGAUGCACAGCUAGUGGAGAGCCCAGCCCUGGCUCAGAACAGUGACCAACCAAGCCAAAUAUCUUCUUGAACUGGUAGAUGAUGAAUGAAGAAUGUAUGCUGAGAGCUUGAAGGAAGGAGAAAUGAAGAGAGAGGCUAGUUUUAGGCCAGCAUUUUCUGGAGCUGAGGAGGUCGAGUGCUGUUCGUCCUUUGGAUACCAAUUUAUCAUCAGCCGCAUGGCUUGAAUGUAUUUGUUCCCAUUAGAUAAACUGUCUCUUUACUGUG